UACGAGGGGGGCAAGCGUUGUUCGGAUUUACUGGGCGUAAAGAGCGCGCAGGCGGUCGUUCAAGUCGAGUGUGAAAGCCCCCGGCUCAACUGGGGAGGGUCAUUCGAUACUGAUCGACUCGAAGGCAGGAGAGGGAAGCGGAAUUCCCGGUGUAGUGGUGAAAUGCGUAGAUAUCGGGAGGAACACCAGUGGCGAAGGCGGCUUCCUGGCCUGUUCUUGACGCUGAGGCGCGAAAGCUAGGGGAGCAAACGGG
rnacentral:rRNA from 1 species